AAUCCUACGGGGGGCAGCAGUGGGGAAUAUUGGGCAAUGGGGGAAACCCUGACCCAGCGACGCCGCGUGAGGGAAGAAGGUUUUCGGAUUGUAAACCUCUGUCCUUGGUGACGAUAAUGACGGUAGCCAAGGAGGAAGCCACGGCUAACUACGUGCCAGCAGCCGCGGUAAUACGUAGGUGGCGAGCGUUGUCCGGAAUUACUGGGUGUAAAGGGAGCGUAGACGGCGAGGUAAGCCUGAAGUGGAAGCCCGCGGCCCAACCGCGGAACUGCUUUGGGAACUGUUUUGCUGGAGUAUGGGCGGGG
rnacentral:rRNA from 1 species